rnacentral:rRNA from 1 species
GGGUUGUGAGGUUAAGUGACUAAGCGUACACGGUGGAUGCCUAGGCAGUCAGAGGCGAUGAAGGGCGUGCUAAUCUGCGAAAAGCGUCGGUAAGGUGAUAUGAACCGUUAUAACCGGCGAUACCCGAAUGGGGAAACCCAGUGUGUUUCGACACACUAUCAUGUCAUGAAUACAUAGUGGCAUGAGGCGAACCGGGGGAACUGAAACAUCUAAGUACCCCGAGGAAAAGAAAUCAACCGAGAUUCCCCCAGUAGCGGCGAGCGAACGGGGAGGAGCCCAGAACCUGAAUCGGCUUGUGUGUUAGUGGAAGCGUCUGGAAAGUCGCGCAGCAAAGGGUGAUAGCCCCGUACACUAAAAUGCACAGGUCGUGAGUUCGAUGAGUAGGGCGGGACACGUGACAUCCUGUCUGAAUAUGGGGGGACCAUCCUCCAAGGCUAAAUACUCCUGACUGACCGAUAGUGAACCAGUACCGUGAGGGAAAGGCGAAAAGAACCCCGGCGAGGGGAGUGAAAUAGAACCUGAAACCGUGUACGUACAAGCAGUGGGAGCACCUUCGUGGUGUGACUGCGUACCUUUUGUAUAAUGGGUCAGCGACUUAUAUUUUGUAGCAAGGUUAACCGUAUAGGGGAGCCGUAGGGAAACCGAGUCUUAACUGGGCGAAUAGUUGCAAGGUAUAGACCCGAAACCCGGUGAUCUAGCCAUGGGCAGGUUGAAGGUUGGGUAACACUAACUGGAGGACCGAACCGACUAAUGUUGAAAAAUUAGCGGAUGACUUGUGGCUGGGGGUGAAAGGCCAAUCAAACCGGGAGAUAGCUGGUUCUCCCCGAAAGCUAUUUAGGUAGCGCCUCGUGAACUCAUCUUCGGGGGUAGAGCACUGUUUCGGCUAGGGGGCCAUCCCGGCUUACCAAACCGAUGCAAACUCCGAAUACCGAAGAAUGUUAUCACGGGAGACACACGGCGGGUGCUAACGUCCGUCGUGAAGAGGGAAACAACCCAGACCGCCAGCUAAGGUCCCAAAGUCAUGGUUAAGUGGGAAACGAUGUGGGAAGGCAUAGACAGCCAGGAUGUUGGCUUAGAAGCAGCCAUCAUUUAAAGAAAGCGUAAUAGCUCACUGGUCGAGUCGGCCUGCGCGGAAGAUGUAACGGGGCUAAACCAUGCACCGAAGCUGCGGCAGCGACGCUUAGGCGUUGUUGGGUAGGGGAGCGUUCUGUAAGCCGUUGAAGGUGGCCUGUGAGGGUUGCUGGAGGUAUCAGAAGUGCGAAUGCUGACAUAAGUAACGAUAAAGCGGGUGAAAAGCCCGCUCGCCGGAAGACCAAGGGUUCCUGUCCAACGUUAAUCGGGGCAGGGUGAGUCGACCCCUAAGGCGAGGCUGAAAAGCGUAGUCGAUGGGAAACAGGUUAAUAUUCCUGUACUUGGUGUUACUGCGAAGGGGGGACGGAGAAGGCUAGGCUGGCCGGGCGACGGUUGUCCCGGUUUAAGCGUGUAGGGGGUGUGACCUGGUAAAUCCGGUUGCAUGUUAACCCUGAGGCGUGAUGACGAUGCACUACGGUGCAGAAGUAGUUGAUGCCCUGCUUCCAGGAAAAGCCUCUAAGCUCCAGGUAACAUUAAAUCGUACCCCAAACCGACACAGGUGGUCAGGUAGAGAAUACCAAGGCGCUUGAGAGAACUCGGGUGAAGGAACUAGGCAAAAUGGUGCCGUAACUUCGGGAGAAGGCACGCUGGCAUGUAGGUGAAGUCCCUUGCGGAUGGAGCUGAAGCCAGUCGAAGAUACCAGCUGGCUGCAACUGUUUAAUAAAAACACAGCACUGUGCAAACACGAAAGUGGACGUAUACGGUGUGACGCCUGCCCGGUGCUGGAAGGUUAAUUGAUGGGGUCAGCCGCAAGGCGAAGCUCUUGAUCGAAGCCCCAGUAAACGGCGGCCGUAACUAUAACGGUCCUAAGGUAGCGAAAUUCCUUGUCGGGUAAGUUCCGACCUGCACGAAUGGCGUAAUGAUGGCCAGGCUGUCUCCACCCGAGACUCAGUGAAAUUGAACUCGCUGUGAAGAUGCAGUGUACCCGCGGCAAGACGGAAAGACCCCGUGAACCUUUACUAUAGCUUGACACUGAACAUUGAGCCUUGAUGUGUAGGAUAGGUGGGAGGCUUUGAAGCGUGGACGCCAGUCUGCGUGGAGCCAUCCUUGAAAUACCACCCUUUAAUGUUUGAUGUUCUAACUCGGCCCCGUGAUCCGGGGUGAGGACAGUGUCUGGUGGGUAGUUUGACUGGGGCGGUCUCCUCCCAAAGAGUAACGGAGGAGCACGAAGGUUAGCUAAUCACGGUCGGACAUCGUGAGGUUAGUGCAAAGGCAUAAGCUAGCUUGACUGCGAGAGUGACGGCUCGAGCAGGUACGAAAGUAGGUCUUAGUGAUCCGGUGGUUCUGAAUGGAAGGGCCAUCGCUCAACGGAUAAAAGGUACUCCGGGGAUAACAGGCUGAUACCGCCCAAGAGUUCAUAUCGACGGCGGUGUUUGGCACCUCGAUGUCGGCUCAUCACAUCCUGGGGCUGAAGUAGGUCCCAAGGGUAUGGCUGUUCGCCAUUUAAAGUGGUACGCGAGCUGGGUUUAGAACGUCGUGAGACAGUUCGGUCCCUAUCUGCCGUGGGCGUUGGAAGAUUGAGAGGGGUUGCUCCUAGUACGAGAGGACCGGAGUGAACGCACCACUGGUGUUCGGGUUGUCAUGCCAAUGGCAUUGCCCGGUAGCUAAGUGCGGAAAAGAUAAGCGCUGAAAGCAUCUAAGCGCGAAACUUGCCUCAAGAUGAGUCUUCCCUGGGCCUUUAAGGCCCCUGAAGGAACGUUUAAGACUAAGACGUUGAUAGGCUGGGUGUGUAAGUGCAGCGAUGCAUUGAGCUAACCAGUACUAAUGAUCCGUGAGGCUUAACCUUACAACACCGAAGGUGUUUUAG